GAUCAUGGCUCAGGAUGAACGCUGGCGGCGUGCUUAACACAUGCAAGUCGAACGAAGCACCUUGAUUUGAUUCUUCGGAUGAAGAUCUUGGUGACUGAGUGGCGGACGGGUGAGUAACGCGUAUCCAACCUGCCCACCACUUGGGGAUAACCUUGCGAAAGUAAGACUAAUACCCAAUGAUAUCUCUAGAAGACAUCUGAAAGAGAUUAAAGAUUCAUCGGUGAUGGAUGGGG
rnacentral:rRNA from 1 species